rnacentral:rRNA from 1 species
UGUACACACGGAUAACAUACCGAAAGGUAUACUAAUACGGGAUAACAUACGAAAGUCGCAUGGUUUUUGUAUCAAAGCUCCGGCGGUACAGGAUGGACCCGCGUCUGAUUAGCUAGUUGGUAAGGUAAUGGCUUACCAAGGCAACGAUCAGUAGCCGACCUGAGAGGGUGAUCGGCCACACUGGAACUGAGACACGGUCCAGACUCCUACGGGAGGCAGCAGUGGGGAAUAUUGCACAAUGGGCGAAAGCCUGAUGCAGCAACGCCGCGUGAGCGAUGAAGGCCUUCGGGUCGGAAGGCUCUGUCCUCAAGGAAGAUAAUGACGGUACUUGAGGAGGAAGCCCCGGCUAACUACGUGCCAGCAGCCGCGGUAAUACUUAGGGGGCUAGCGUUAUCCGGAAUUACUGGGCGUAAAGGGGUGCGUAGGUGGUUUUU